rnacentral:rRNA from 1 species
GACGAACGCUGGCGGCGUGCUUAACACAUGCAAGUCGAACGGAAAGGCCCUGCUUUUGUGGGGUGCUCGAGUGGCGAACGGGUGAGUAACACGUGAGUAACCUGCCCUUGACUUUGGGAUAACUUCAGGAAACUGGGGCUAAUACCGGAUAGGAGCUCCUGCUGCAUGGUGGGGGUUGGAAAGUUUCGGCGGUUGGGGAUGGACUCGCGGCUUAUCAGCUUGUUGGUGGGGUAGUGGCUUACCAAGGCUUUGACGGGUAGCCGGCCUGAGAGGGUGACCGGCCACAUUGGGACUGAGAUACGGACCAGACUCCUACGGGAGGCAGCAGUGGGGAAUAUUGCACAAUGGGCGGAAGCCUGAUGCAGCAACGCCGCGUGCGGGAUGCCGGCCUUCGGGUUGUAAACCGCUUUCGCCUGUGCCGAAGAGUGAGUGACGGUAAUGGGUAAAGAAGCACCGGCUAACUACGUG